rnacentral:rRNA from 1 species
AACGAACGCUGGCGGCGUGGAUAAGGCAUGCAAGUCGAACGCGAAAGUUGGUCUUCGGACCGAUGAGUAGAGUGGCAAACGGGUGAGUAACACGUGGGCAACUUACCCCGAAGUGGGGGAUAACUCCUGGAAACAGGGGCUAAUACCGCAUACGCUCGGUUGAAGGCAUCUUCUUCCGAGCAAAGGUGGGGCUCCGCAAGGACCUGCCGCUUUGGGAUAGGCCCGCGCCUGAUUAGCUAGUUGGUGAGGUAACGGCUCACCAAGGCGACGAUCAGUAGCUGGUCUGAGAGGAUGGUCAGCCACACUGGGAUUGAGAUACGGCCCAGACUCCUACGGGUGGCAG